rfam:Cicer arietinum chromosome Ca3, whole genome shotgun sequence.
AGGGCUUCAUAUGUUAAUAUCAUUCAUGCUUUCACCUACUUUAAUGUAUUUAGCAAUGUUCAAUUGAAGCCUAGAAUUGUGUUCCCCUCGCUAUCCGAUGCACCAAAUUGAUGAUUCAUUUGGACGUCGGGGAACAAAAUUU